AGCAGCCGCGGUAAUUCCAGCUCCAAUAGCGUAUAUUAAAGUUGUUGCAGUUAAAAAGCUCGUAGUUGAAUUUCGGGAUCAUCAGGUUGGUCGUGCCUCUGGUAUGUACUUUCCUCGAUGGUUCCUCCUUCUUGAAGAACCGUAAUGCCAUUAAUUUGGUGUUGCGGGGAAACAGGACUGUUACUUUGAAAAAAUUAGAGUGUUUAAAGCAGGCAAUCGCUUGAAUACAUUAGCAUGGAAUAAUGAAAUAGGACGUUCGAUCCUAUUUUGUUGGUUUCUAGGAUUGACGUAAUGAUUAAUAGGGAUAGUUGGGGGCAUUAGUAUUCAAUUGUCAGAGGUGAAAUUCUUGGAUUUAUUGAAGACUAACUACUGCGAAAGCAUUUGCCAAGGAUGUUUCAUUAAUCAAGACGAAAUUAGGGGAUCGAAGACGAUCAGAUACCGUCGUAGUCUUAACCAUAAACUAUGCGACUGGAUCGGAUGGUGUUAAUUUUUUAAUGACUCAUUCGGCGCCUUACGGGAAAA
rnacentral:rRNA from 1 species